rnacentral:tRNA from 1 species
GAGCUCAGUUGGUAGUAGCGCAUGACUGUUAAUCAUGAUGUCGUAGGUUCGAGUCCUACUGGCG